GCCUGGUGGUAUAUACCUAUAAUCCUUGCUACUGGGGAGGCUGAGGCUUGGGGAUUGCUUGAGCUCAGGUGUUCUGAGAAGCUGUGGGUUAGAGCCAAUCAGGGGCCUACACUAAGUUAGACAUCAAUAUGGUGAGCUCCUGGGAGCUAGGGGUCACCAAGUUGUCUGCAGAGAGGUGAACCAGUCCAGGUCAGACAAGCAGAGCAGUUUAAAGCCCCUGUUCUGAUAAGUAGUGAGAACAGGCCCAUGAGUGACUGCUGUACUUCCAAGCUGGGCAAAAUACGGAGACCCCGUCUUUA
ensembl:misc_RNA Metazoa_SRP Metazoan signal recognition particle RNA